rnacentral:rRNA from 1 species
AACGCGAAGAACCUUACCUGGGUUUGACAUGUGCAGGACAGGUGAUGAAAGUCACUCUCCCUUCGGGACCUGUACACAGGUGCUGCAUGGCUGUCGUCAGCUCGUGUCGUGAGAUGUUGGGUUAAGUCCCGCAACGAGCGCAACCCUCGCCCUCUGUUGCUACCGGGUCAUGCCGGGCACUCUGAGGGGACUGCCCCGGUGAACGGGGAGGAAGGUGGGGAUGACGUCAAGUCCUCAUGGCCUUUAUGUCCAGGGCUACACACGUGCUGCAAUGGUCAGGACAAUGGGUCGCUCCCGCGUAAGCGGUUGCCAAUCUCAAAGACCUGCCCCUAGUUCGGAUGGUCGGCUGCAACCCGCCGGCCUGAAGCUGGAAUCGCUAGUAAUCGGAGAUCAGCACGCUCCGGUGAAUACGUUCCCGGGCCUUGUACACACCG